GGCAAAGCCAGAGGUGGCUGUGUAAGAACUGAUGGCAGGAUAUGGUCUUCACAUCAGGAAGCAGGUGCCCUGUGCUCUCCAGACCUUGAGUCAGAUAGUCUGCUGAGCAGUCAUCGAGGGUCCCCUUCCCUGAAUCAUGGCAUGGAACUCUUUUAAGGCCUUUGCAUGUUCACACCUGAGACCAGACACAGGUGAACUCAUCUGUCUGUUUCCAGAAGACUUUGCUAACUCCUGGAAGCUCAUCAAGAGCUGAGCCACAUGCCAGGUGCAGUGGCUUACACCUGCAGUUCCAGCAUUUUUGGGCACUGAGG